CCUACGGGAGGCUGCAGUGGGGAAUAUUGCACAAUGGGGGAAACCCUGAUGCAGCGACGCCGCGUGAGUGAAGAAGUAUUUCGGUAUGUAAAGCCCUAUCAGCAGGGAAGAUAAUGACGGUACCUGACUAAGAAGCACCGGCUAACUACGUGCCAGCAGCCGCGGUAAUACGUAGGGGGCAAGCGUUAUCCGGAUUUACUGGGUGUAAAGGGUGCGUAGGUGGCAGGGCAAGUCAGAUGUGAAAGCCCAGGGCUUAACCCCGGUACUGCAUUUGAAACUGUCCAGCUGGAGUACAGGAGAGGUAAGCGGAAUUCCUAGUGUAGCGGUGAAAUGCGUAGAUAUUAAGAGGAACACCAGUGGCGAAGGCGGCUUACUGGACUGUAACUGACACUGAGGCACGAAAGCGUGGGGAGCAAACAGGAUUAGAUACCCGAGUAGUC
rnacentral:rRNA from 1 species